rnacentral:tRNA from 1 species
GCCUGGGUGGCUCAGUCGGUUAAGCAUCCGACUUCGGCUCAGGUCAUGAUCUCACGGUUCGUGGGUUCGAGCCCCGCGUCGGGCU